UCUUUCGGAUGAGCAAAGAAAGCAGUUUUUUGAGAUAGAACCUACGCCUGGUGAAGAUGCUGUGAA